UACAGAGGUGGCAAGCGUUGUUCGGAAUUACUGGGCGUAAAGGGCGCGUAGGCGGCCUACUAAGUCAGACGUGAAAUCCCCCGGCUUAACCUGGGAACUGCCUUUGAUACUGAAAGUCUUGAGUAUGGGAGAGGUGAGUGGAACUGCGAGUGUAGAGGUGAAAUUCGUAGAUAUUCGCAAGAACACCAGUGGCGAAGGCGGCUCACUGGCCCAUAACUGACGCUGAGGCACGAAAGCGUGGGGAGCAAACAGG
rnacentral:rRNA from 1 species